GGAGUUGUGGUUCAGUUGGAGAGCGCUUGCCUCGUAUGCGUGAGGCACUGGGUUCAAUUCCCAGCAUCACAU
rnacentral:tRNA from 1 species